rnacentral:lncRNA from 1 species
UCGCAAGCAGCUUACACUUACACCGUCGUGGCCAGCCCCAGGCUGUUUCAGCCUUCAUGACAGAAUCAGCGCGGUCAGCCGGUUACACAGUCCCAAAGCAAAGCGAAUAGCACGUUUGCAUUAGCGACUACGUGUGCCCAACGCAAAGUGAGGCAUCGAAGGAUGGCACUUACCGAUUCUGUCCGGCAUGCGAUAUUACCAACCAGCCAGGUAACCGUUGGUUACCGUUGACCCCACGGCCUUUGCAGCUUUGUCUCACCGCAUCAGAUAUUACGAGUAUAAUGUAUCCAUCGGAUCCAAUCCUGAUCCGCGUACGAACAUACACACGUACAUGCAUACGUAUACAAGACACACAAUGUUCGUACGUUCGUUCAUCUCAAUCCACAACCUAAACGAUUAUCUCUCUCACUCUUGUUCGCUUUUCGCGUUCAAAGCUUUGUCAUCUACAACAUAUGUAGUAUAACUACAUAGAUAUAUAAACGAGAUGGCCGAUGGCCGUACACCUUUCGAUGCCUUUGAGAUAGGAACAUCUUCUUUCUUCAAUUUCGCUUUAUACCUAACUAUGUUGGAAAAAUCGAUUGAAUCUAUAGAACAUGAACGACGUUAACGAAUACGAACAAAAUAUCGAUUUUCCAGAUAUUCUUUCCAAUGGGAGAUUAACCCAAGAAGGACGUAGAUAUGUUCCUGGUAAAAAAUGUACGCCAUCUGUCUGUCCACCAGCAGCAACAGUUUCAAUGUAUCAGAUUGAAUAAACUAUUCGUUUGGAUGGUCGGACUACCUAACAUCCUCCUCGUUUUUAGUGCUAAUAGCACGUAUAUACGGUCAUUAUUUCUUUCACUUUGCUAUCUCUCUUUCUCUUUCUCUCUCAUACACACUUUCUUUCUCUCGUUUUAUCGCGUACGUUUGUUACUAACGACGCUCAGGAAUGAUUUUUAAUUACUCCAACGUUUAAUUACUCAUUCAUUAGCCAUACGUGUCCCUCGUAUACUUCACGUAUUUUCCCGACUAUUUUCUAUCUCCGUGAAUUUUAGCUCGAGAGUUUUGAAAGCGACGAGAGAAAUAAAAGUGAUAAAAGAAAAGAGGAAAAUAGCUCGAAAAAGCAUGCAUAUAUACGUUUUUCCAUAUUUAUCUUUCUUUUAUUUAAAAAAAAUAAAAAUAAAAAUAAAUAAAGGAAAGAAAAUAAAGAAAAUAGAAAAAAAAAGAAAAAAAAAAGAAGAAAAAGAAUGGCAACGCAACGAGAGAGAAGCUUAAGAUCCACGUUGAGGAUUUAGCCAAAAUGAAGUGAAGUAGCGCGUAUCCAACCAAUUACCAGGGAUAACUGCAAAGGGCGUAAGUUAAAGGGAAGCAUCGAAGCGCUACCACCACUGGAUAAUCCUAGUUCUACCCUCAAGCUAAUGUUUCUGAAAGCGUGCGCUUCUAUUCGGUGCGAUUGGCAGGGAUACGCCAUUUGCUUAUGAGCUUUCCGUUGGCCAAAUUCACAAUAAUAUCGAACUAUUAUCGCUUGAUUAUUCCGCUUAUUUCAGUUAAACUCUCGAUAAUGGAUUAUUUUAAAGGAUAUAUAAGAAAGAUUUCGAAUCGGAGAAUUUUUCUUUCAUAACAUUUCGCUUAACUUCUAAUUAUAAUAUUAAAUUCAUUAUUUCUACGGAAUUUAUGAAACUCGAAUAACGCAUCGAAUACUAAUUGUAUAAAAAAAAAAAAAAAAAAAA